GUGGGGAAUAUUGGGCAAUGGAGGCAACUCUGACCCAGCAAUGCCGCGUGAGUGAUGAAGGUAAUUUUAUUGUAAAGCUCUUUUCUUUGGAACGAAUAAAUGACGGUACCAAAGGAAUAAGCCCCGGCUAACUACGUGCCAGCAGCCGCGGUAAUACGUAGGGGGCAAGCGUUGUUCGGAAUGACUGGGCGUAAAGGGUGUGUAGGUGGUUUGAUAAGUUAGAUGUGUAAUACCCAGGGCUUAACUCGGGUGCUGCAUCUAAAACUGUUAGACUUGAGUACUGGAGAGGAUAGUGGAAUUCCUAGUGUAGCGGUGGAAUGCGUAGAUAUUAGGAGGAACAUCAGUGGCGAAGGCGACUAUCUGGACAGCAACUGACACUGAGGCACGAAAGCGUGGGGAGCAAACAGG
rnacentral:rRNA from 1 species